AUCCACCCGCCUCAGUCUCCCAAUAGAUUACAUAUAUUAUUAAUGAAUUGCUUCCUUUAACACCCUAUUCAUUGAAUUUUCCAGUAAACCACAAUUACUAAUUACUCCUGAAAUCAGAAAAGAGGUUAAAAAGAUUUUAUAACAGUAUCCUAUGAAAUCUACUACUUUCAAGUAAUAGUAGUUGAAUUACCAAAACCCGUCACUCAAGCCAAUGACUACAAUUAAGAUAUGAGUAACAUUUCCUAGAUAAAUAAAGUCAAUUAAUUAUAUUUGCAUCUGGGAAAUAGAGAAAGUACAUAUAAGCCAUGAUUUUGAAGUCAAAAGAGAGAGAAUAUUUGCCAAGGAGGGGUGAGUUAUAGUAUGUAAU
rnacentral:lncRNA from 1 species